CAGUCGCCGCGGUAAUACAGAGGGUGCGAGCGUUAAUCGGAUUUACUGGGCGUAAAGCGUGCGUAGGCGGCUAAUUGAGUCGGAUGUGAAAUCCCCGAGCUUAACUUGGGAAUUGCAUUCGAUACUGGUUAGCUAGAGUGUGGGAGAGGAUGGUAGAAUUCCAGGUGUAGCGGUGAAAUGCGUAGAGAUCUGGAGGAAUACCGAUGGCGAAGGCAGCCAUCUGGCCUAACACUGACGCUGAGGUACGAAAGCAUGGGGAGCAAACAGGAUUAGAUACCCGGGUAGUCCCUGUCUCUUAUAA
rnacentral:rRNA from 1 species